GAUGAACGCUGGCGGCGUGCUUAACACAUGCAAGUCGAACGGAAAGGUCCUGAUCUUGUGGGGUGCUCGAGUGGCGAAGGGGUGAGUAACACGUGAGUAAACUGCCCUUGACUUUGGGAUAAAUUUAGGAAAAUGGGGCUAAUACCGGAUAGGAGCUCCUGCUGCAUGGUGGGGGUUGGAAAGUUUCGGCGGUUGGGGAUGGACUAGCGGCUUAUCAGCUUGUUGGUGGGGUAGUGGAUUACCAAGGUUUUGACGGGUAGCCGGCCUGAGAGGGUGACCGGCCACAUUGGGACUGAGAUACGGCCCAGACUCCUACGGGAGGCAGCAGUGGGGAAUAUUGCACAAUGGGCGGAAGCCUGAUGCAGCAACGCCGCGUGCGGGAUGACGGCCUUCGGGGUGUAAACCGCUUUCGCCUGAGACGAAGCGUGAGUGACGGUAAUGGGUAAAGAAGCACCGGCUAACUACGUG
rnacentral:rRNA from 1 species